rnacentral:rRNA from 1 species
GACGAAGGAUGCAAGCGUUAUCCGGAUUCAUUGGGUUUAAAGGGAGCGUAGGUGGCCUUAUAAGUCAGUGGUGAAAUCUCUGGGCUUAACCCAGAAAUUGCCAUUGAUACUGUAGGGCUUGAGUAUAGUUGCCGUUGGCGGAAUAUGACAUGUAGUGGUGAAAUACAUAGAGAUGUCAUAGAACACCGAUUGCGAAGGCAGCUGACGAAACUAUAACUGACACUGAGGCUCGAAAGUGCGGGGAGCAAACAGG